ACAAAUUCAAAGGGAGAAAAUAGAAAUGGCAUACUUUGUGGAGAGAUCCAUGCUCAGCACUGAGUUUGAGCCAUCUGAGAGCUGGGAGGUCAAAGCUGGUAACAGUUUUGAUUCUACCAGCUUGAGGGAUGUAGAUGUCAGGUGAUGAAGAUGAGUCAAUGUUCUGGUGAAGUCUUGCAGUGCAAAUGGUUUCCUCAAACCCAUUGUCUCUUUGGCUUCUGCUUCCACCUCUGCUGUGGCGGCGUGGCUGUCUCUUUUCUUCUUCAUCUUCAUCUUCAUCUUGUCUGCUGUGGCGGCGUGGCCGUCUCUUUUCAUCUUCAUCUUCAUCUUGUCUGCUGUGGCGGUGUGGCUGUCUCUUUUCAUCUUCGUCUUCGUCUUCAUCUUCUUCUUGUCUGCUGCCUCUUUGGUGACGUGGCUGCUUCUCUGAUGGGCUUAUGAAGCUGAGACCUCCUUUAACUUUGACAAUGGCUCCCUUCUCCUCAUCUUCGUCCCUGCCUUGAAGUUUGUCCACUAUAUGCCUGUUCACGUUCAAGGCGUCUUCCAAGAAAUCCCUCCUAAAGCCACUGAAAAUGUUGUUUCCUUCAUUUUCUUGUUCUUCCUUUCGUCCUUCUUGUUGUUGAUAUUGUAGAAACUCUUGUUCUUGGUUCCCAGCAAGGUAGAAUCUCUGUCAAGUAUUGUCAACAAUAAAAAAACAAACAGUUGUCAAUAAGUUAGUGUUAGAUGGCACUUAGAAACUCUCACUUAUGGUAGGUAGGUAGCUGACCCUAGGCAUUUGAUCAAGCUGGUUUUGGAAGCUGCUGGUGUCAAUAAGAGAAACAGCAAUAACUGGAGUGUCUUGGUCAUUGUACAUCCAGAAAACAACACCGGUAGGAACUGCAAUGAUAUCACCCUCUCUGAAACGGUUAACCUUUUGGUGACUGUCUCUGAAUCUGCGGCCCUCUCUUUGUUCAGAUUCCCGUGGCUCCAUAAAGGUCUCAGGACAACCAGGGAAUACCAUGCCAAAAUAUCCAUUACCUGUAACAUGGUAUACAUCAUAAUUAACUACUAUUAGUACUAUAUAACAUUAAUUAGUGGCAUUGUUAAUACUAUGUAACUAAAGAAGUUGGAAAUUAAUGGAAUAAGAUCAAAGAAAGUAACCUUGUUGGAUGAAAAUUUCCUGGGGAGCGUUGGUGUAGAAAGGUCUGCGAAGGGCAUUGCGUUGAAGGGUAGCACGAGAGAGGGCAACACCAGCACAUCGGAAUUGUCUGUUGUUUGGGUUCCAAGUCUCAAUAAGUCCACCUUCUGACUCUAUACGGUUAUCGGGUUCAAGGGCAUUGAGGUGUUCAAGCUGGCACUCAUUUUGCUGAGGCUGUUCUCUAAAAGCAAAACAGCCACCAAAAAGUAGAAAACAAAGUGAAAGAGAGAGCGCAAGAAGCUUAGCCAUUGGAGAGAGAGAAUAAUAUAUUUUGGUUUGUGAUGCGGAAAACCUUAAUAACAACUGUUACUUUAUAGGGAAGAGAGGAGUGUGGAGGAGGGACACGUUAGAGAAGGUGGAUUGUUGAACAUUAGACAUUCUUCAUCUUGCAUGGCUAUGGAAGUCUUGUGCAUUACACCUCAAAAUGUCUCAUACUGCAGGUGGCUUCAUUUCAACAUGUUCCAUAACCAAACAAAAUUAUAAGAGAGCAAGCUUGUUUGUAUAUUGCAAUUGCUUCGCAGCAGCAAAUAGCUUGCUGUAAUUAAUUUUUUUUUCUUCUUCUAUAUGCUGUUUUCUUUAAUUUCACGCAGGUGAUAAUUGAUUGCAUUUGUAGUAUUUAGAUAUAUAUCUACUCGAUUCACUUUUAAGUUAUUGUCCGUACAUUAGUGUUGGAUAUAUAGCACUGAGUUUGACAUGUAAAAAAAAACAGAUGGAUAGAUAUUAUGUAUGUAGCCUUUGAGUGAGAGACAUGUAAUAACAUAUGGAUAUAUAGAUAAUAGAUGUUUACGUGGCUAUUAAAUCAAUAUAUAUCCUAUCCUAAUUACUUACACCUCUGUUGUUGCGGCUUUGAGUAAUAGUUUGCAUGCAUCUGAUAGGCAAAAUAUAAUGUGGUAUUUUAAGUUAUUUAUAUUAAUUCUUAAGUUUGUUUUGUCUUAGAUAGUACUUUUAAGUCUUAAUAUAUGAAUGAUGUCCAUUUUUAUGAGAUUCCAUUUUAACUACAUUAAAAAAUUGUUCAGGUUAUUGUUUCGAUUUUGAUGGGAGGAUUAUGUGCUUACGUGGCAUGACUCAUUAUUUUAUAGUAUUUAUUUUGUUUAACAAAUGUCAAAUUUAAACAGUUUUGUCAAACAAAGCUUCAUGAAUAAUCUUCUCCCCUUAUGUGUCGUUUUCCUUUUCCCAUUCAUUGCACACAUGAAAGAAAUAACAAAACUUCUGAUAGUUCUUCACCUCGUCUUAUCCCAAAUCAUUUUCAAUGGGGUUUCAAUGUCAAUUAACAUUUUAAAUACCUAGUUUCUUCAUCUUCUUCUCUUCUUUUUUACUUAUGGAGUUAAGGGUUUUUGGGUUUAUACUUUAAACUCAUAAGUUGAAGGGCAAAAUACAUUUCAUCUAUUUCCAAAAAAAAUGUUGUCUAUGUUAGACAACCAGUAUGAGUUCAUAUACAGGUCUUUUAAAAAAUUAAUGUGUCGGUACAUAAAAAUAUACAAAAGGAAUGUCUUUCAUAAAUAUAAUAUUUAACAAAAAUUAUGUCUUUCAUAAACUUUCAACAUUUUAAAUCAAAAUAGAAUUAGGUAAUAAGUAUACGAAAUUGAGAAAUAUUAUGAUACAAAGAUGAUAUAUUUAUAUAACAGGACUCAGGAAAUAACAUUAAUAUAAUAAACUAUAAAAAAAAAAGUAUAUAAAGUAUGAUAGAAAAACUAUCCACAUAAUAAUAAAAAAAUAGAAUGAGAAAAUCUAAUUUUUAUAAUUAGUAAAAGCCAAAAACAUACUUAUUUAUCUGAGCACAGAUACGUAUCCAAAAAGUAUCUAUAUAUUUUCAAAUGAAAUACUCAAAUUUAUAUUUUAAAAAUUAAUUAUUGUUUUUUUAAGUUAUAUUUUAAAAAUUAAUUUUAGUACGUACAAGAUACUUAGCUUUAAAUAUCAUAUAAAUUAAUACCAGAUACAAAUACAAGUAACCACACAUUUGUUGGGUAUCCAUCCUUCAGAGUAUAAAAACCAAAGUUUGGUAUUUGGUGAAAUAUGACGGGAUUAAAUUAUAUGGUGUACUUUUGUACCCAAAAAAAUAAAAAUUAUGGCGUAUUUACAUUCAAUCUAACCCUCGCACAUAUCCAUUUUCAAAUUUCAUUAUUACUUUGUUCUUUUAGUUCUCGGUUUAGAUUAUGCGACCGUGAUAACAGUGCAUUAAAAUAUGAAAUUGCACAUUUAUCUCGUAAAUAAUUUUAUUUUCACUUUAAUUAAGUAACACACAUAAAAGAGGUCCAAUAAAAUUCUCACAAAUUUUCUUUUAUUUUCUCUCUAUUAUAACUGUUCGAUGCAUGAGUUUUCCUUCAAAUACAUAUUUGAGUGCUGGUAAUUUUUUGAAGCAGAUAUGGGACAUGUACUUUUAGUACUUAUCGAAAGAUACCUUUUAUCGUCUCUAAUCAAUAUGCAUUUCGUAAAGAUAUCUAGUUAUAACUCGGAGCAAUUAUAUAUAGAUUAUACAAAAAGCUCUUUUAAGAAUUUAUAUAAAAAUAAAUAAAAGAGUAAAACAAUAUUUUUGUAUAUAUCAUUCUUACACAGUGAGAGAAAAUGAGAGAGAAAACGAGAGAAUCUUAAUAGAUGAUAUGUUUUUUUCUGGAGAAUCUUAAUAGAUGAUAUGUUUUUUUUGACAAAAAACCUAUUUUAUUGUUGUUGUUCAUAGAUGUUAUUAAUAAUACCAACUUUGAUAAUAUAUAUAAAAUUGAUUUGAUAAUUAAGAUAAGACAAUUAAGAAAUUGAUUGAUAAAAGAGAUUGCCGAUUGGUUGAUUUGAUAAUUAAGAUAAGAGAAUUAUGAAGUUGUUGAAAAAAAAAAUAACACAAACUUUGACAGAAAAUCAUACAGCAUUUAAAUUUGGCUCUUUGUUUAUUUUGUUUCCGCAAAAGGUACAUGACUCGAGUAACUUUACACAUAACAAAAGGCAUCUAAGCCUUCAUUUUCUUAUUCAUAAUUUGCAUGAUUAUUCCUUUAUUCAUAUUGAUUUGGUACCAAAUCUAAGCUGCUGCUUUGUUGUCUGAGUCACUGCGGGGUGGAACAAGAAAUGAAAAGGGGCUGUUGAACUUGAGCUGCCUGGCCUCAUUUCUUUCCAUAUUGAAAGCAGCUGCAACAACUUCUUCUGGCAUACCAUUUAUCAAGGAAGAUGCUCCUAAAAGCCUGCCAAUAGCUGCUCUGUCAUUGGUCUUGAAUGCUACAUAUGAGAACCUGUCACUCAAUGAUUUUGCAGCUAUUGCAAAGUUUUGUGGCACUAUCAACGCCCGGCCAGCUUCUAGUUCCCCAUCAAACACACUGUUGCCUUUGCAGUUCACAAUUUGUAAUCUUGCACGUCCCUUCAAUGCAUAAAGUAUGCUGUUUGCAUUGAGGUUGUAGUGAGGCACAAACAUAGCAUUCUGUUACAUAUAAAUAGACAAACAAGUGAGUUACUUAUAUUCUAACACUUCCAAAUUCCAUUAAUGUUGAUAUGAAAAGAUUGUUUGAUAUAAAAUUAAGUCAUGAAAGACAUUAGGUUUCAUGGUUUGGUCUAGUGGUAAAAAGACCUACAUGUUGUAGGUUCAAUCUCUGCUAGUGUCAUUGGAAGUUGGCAAAUGUAAAUGCAUCAUCUUUUUUUAUAAAAAAGAGAAAUGACAUACUUUGUGGAGAGAUCCAAACUCAGCACUGAGUUUGAGAAACCUGAGAGCUGGAAGGUCGAAGCUGGUAACAGUUUUGAUUCUACCAGCUUGAGGGUUGUAGAUGUCAGGUGAUGAAGAUGAGCCAAUGUUCUGGUGAAGUCUUGCAGUGCAAAUGGUUUCCUCAAACCCAUUGUCUCUUUGGCUUUUGCUUCCACCUCUGCUGUGGCGGCGUGGCUGUCUCUUUUCAUCUUCGUCUUCAUCUUGUCUGCUGUGGCGGUGUGGCUGUCUCUUUUCAUCUUCAUCUUCAUCUUCCUCUUGUCUGCUGCCUCUCUUUUGACGUGGCUCCUUCUCUGGUGGAGUGAUGAUGCUAAGACCUCCUUUCACUUUGACAAUGGCUCCCUUCUCCUCAUCUUCGUUCCUACCUUGAAGUUUGUUCACUAUACGCCUGUUCACGUUCAAGGCAUCUUCCAAGAAAUCCCUCUUGAAGCCACUGAAAAUGUUGCCACCUUCAUUUUCCUCUUCUUCACUUCCUUCCUGCUG
rnacentral:lncRNA from 1 species